rnacentral:rRNA from 1 species
CUGGCGGCGGGCUUAACACUUGCUUUGUCGACGACCUCUUCUCGGGAGUUUUUGGCAGACGGGUGAGUAACGCGUGGGAACCUGCCUUUAGGUACGGAANAACACUUGGAAACUGCUGCUAAUACCGUAUAUGCCCUAUGGUGUGAAAGAUUUAUCGCCUAAGGAUGGGCCCUGCGUUGGAUUAGCUAGUUGGUGGGGUAAAGGCCUACCAAGGCGCACGAAUCCAUAGCUGUGUCUGAGAGGAUGAUCAGCCACACUGGGACUGAGACACGGCCCCAGACUCCUACGGGAGGCAGCAGUGGGGAAUAUUGGACAAUGGGCGAAAGCCUGAUCCAGCACCAUGCCGCGUGAGUGAUGAAGGCCCUAGGGUUGUAAAGCCCUUUCAGCAACGAGGAGGAUAAUGACGGUAACCGCAGAAGACAGCCCCGGCUAACUUCGUGCCAGCAGCCGCGGUAAUACGAAGGGAGCUAGCGUUGUUCGGAAUUACUGGGCGUAAAGCGCACGUAGGCGGCCUUUUAAGU